rnacentral:misc_RNA from 1 species
GAUGAAGAACGCAGUGAAAUGCGAUAAUUAUUGUGAAUUGCAGAAUUCAGUGAAUCAUCGAGUCUUUGAACGCACAUUGCGCCCCCUGGUAUUCCGGGGGGCAUGCCUGUCCGAGCGUCAUUGCUGCCCUCAAGCACGGCUUGUGUGUUGGGCUUCCGUCCCUGGCAACGGGGACGGGCCCAAAAGGCAGUGGCGGCACCAUGUCUGGUCCUCGAGCGUAUGGGGCUUUGUCACCCGCUCCCGUAGGUCCAGCUGGCAGCUAGCCUCGCAACCAAUCUUUUUAACCAGGUUGACCUCGGAUCAGGUAGGGAUACCCGCUGAACUUAAGCAUAUCAAUAAGCGGAGGA